GACGAACGCUGGCGGCGUGCUUAACACAUGCAAGUCGAACGGAAAGGCCCUGCUUUUGUGGGGUGCUCGAGUGGCGAAAGGGUGAGUAACACGUGAGUAACCUGCCCUUGACUUUGGGAUACCUUCAGGAAACUGGGGUUAAAACCGGAUAGGAGCUCCUGAUGCAUGGUGGGGGUUGGAAAGAUACGGAGGUUGGGGAUGGACUCGUGGCCUAUCAGCUUGUUGGUGGGGUAGUGGCUUAAAAAGGCAUUGAGGGGUAGCCGGCCUGAGAGUGUGACCGGCCACAUUGGGACUGAGAAGCCACCCGGACUCCUACGUGGGGCAGCAGUGGGGAAUAGUGCGCGAUGGGCGGAAGCCUGAAGCAGCAACGCCGCGUGCGAGAUGACGGCCGUCAGGGUGUAAACCGCUUGCGCCUGUAACGAAGCGUAAGUGACGGUAAUAGGUAAAGAAGCACCGGCUAACUACGUG
rnacentral:rRNA from 1 species